GGGAGGGAGAGGGCGGCCAACGGGCGAAAGCACCGAGGAAAGUCCUCCCUCCAUCCGGAAAUGUGAGUGGGCAAUCCACCGGGAGAGAUCCCGAGCUCUGGAACAGAAACGACACGGCCGUUGGCACUGGGAUGAAGGGUUAAGAUCACCGGGCGACCGGGGAAACGACCCGGACGACGCCGGCGGAUUCGAUGGAACGGCGAAUCUUCGCAGGAGCAAGCCGAAACGAGGCCUGAGAGUUCCGGACGAGGCCUGGGUACGGCGCUUAGUUAAAUGCCGCGAGCCGUCCGCGGGCGACCGCUGACGGGAAACAGAAGGAGGCUUACUCCUCCCACCC
rnacentral:RNase_P_RNA from 1 species